CCAAUAGCGUAUAUUAAAGUUGUUGCAGUUAAAAAGCUCGUAGUUGAAUUUCGGGAUCAAUAUUUCGGUCAUGCCGUUGGUAUGCACUGUUAUCAUUGAUUUCUCACCUUCUAAAGAACCGUAAUGCCAUUAAUUUGGUGUUACGGGGAAUUAGGACUGUUACCUUGAAAAAAUUAGAGUGUUUAAAGCAGGCUCACGCUUGAAUACAUUAGCAUGGAAU
rnacentral:rRNA from 1 species